ACAUGUAUGCAUAUACACAUACAUAUGCAUACAUAUACAUAUAUAUAUAUGUAUAUAUAUAUUUUCAUAUAUGCAUACAUGUAUGUAUGUAUGUAUGUAUGUGUACAUAUAUGGCUUUUUUUGGAGAAUAGUGCAGGAACUGGGUUACACGACUCCAAUUUGGCUUCAAGAAAAGCUGAAGAAGCAGUAAGGAACAUGAAAAUUGGAUUUUUUUGGAGAAUAGUGCAAGAACUGGGUUGCAUGACUUCAAUUUGGCUUCAAGAAAAGCUGAAGAAGCAGCUUGGAAGCAAUUUCCAGCAGUUGCGUAGCUUGAAAGCUUAGUUGAGCCUCUAGUUAUAUCAUUGCAGCCAUCAGAGAGAGUGUUGAUUUCUCGCUUGAGAAUUGCUCUCAUACUCUGCAACAGCAUGAACAAGAUCAAUCCAGCAGGGAAGCUCAUCCGCCACCCUUGUAUCAGUUAAUUGAGAAUGUAAAGAACUUUUUGGUGGCACUCAAAGGGUUGAAGCUGCCAGCUUUUGAAGCUUCUGAUCUUGAAAAGUGCUAGCUCGGACAAUUGUGCAUUGUUUGUGGAAACUUUGAGGUUGUGACCCAGGAAAAUAUAGGAUACCGAAGACAAAAGAGAGGACGGGUGGAUGACAUGGCAGCCAAGGAUGACGUGACAUGACAAAGUGGUGUGGAAACAAGAAGACUGGAUUUUAUGGAGAAUGGUGCAAGAACUGGGUUACAUGACUUCAAUUUCACUUCAAGAAAUGCUGAAGAAGGAGGAACAAGAAGAUUGGAUUUUUUUUCAGAAUAGUGCAAGAACUAGGUUACAUGAGUUCAAGAAAAGGUGAAGAAGCAGCGUGGAAGCAAUUUCAAGCAGUUGUGUAGCUUGAAAGCUUAGUCGGGCCUCUGGUUAUAUCAAGGCAGCUGUCAAAGAGUGUUCAUUUCUCGCUUGAGAAUUGAUCUUAUUCUCUGCAAUGUCAUUAACAAGAUCAAUCCAGGUGCUAUAGCCAAGGUUGUGGAGAACAUUUCUUAUAUGCAAUCAUUCAGCGGGGAAGCUCAACUGAGACCUUUGUAUCAGUUAUAUGAGAAUGUAAGAAACUUUUUGGUGGCAAUCAAAGAGUUGAAGCUGCCAGCAUUUAAGCUUGUGAUCUUGAAAAGUCAAAGAGUUGAAGCUGCCAGCUUUUGAAGCUUCUGAUCUUGAAAAGUAAUUUUCUGAUUGCAUACUUUGAUUCCUUGCUAGCUUGGACAACUGUGCAUUGUUUGUGGAAACUUUGAGGUUGCGACCCAGGAAAAUAUAGGAAGCUAAAGACGAAAAGGAGGACGGGUGGAUGACAUGACAGUCAAGGAUGACGUGACAACAUGUUUGGCAUGACAUGACAAAAUGGUGUGGUGUGCUUAUGUGGCAUGAGGUGUCAUGUUUUCUAGUUGUGGAAAGUUUAAUUUAAUUUAACGUUCCUAAUUUAAUUUAAUUUUCCUAAUGUUUUUAAGUAUUUAAUUUAAAGUUAAUUUGUGCAAGUGUGGAAGACUGGAUAUGUUGUCAAGUAUAGAGUGGCGUGAUUAUACACACCAAAGAGGUGGGAAGUUGUGGGGAGGCAUGAAGUUUGUGACGGAGAUAUUCAAUUCAUAUAUUUUCAGUUGUAGUAUCUACUAACCGUUUAUAUUCUAUUUUAGUGCUAGCUUGGACAACUGUGCAUUGUUUGCGGAAACUUUGAGGUUGCGACCCGGGAAAACAUAGGAUGCCAAAGACAAAAAAGAGGACCGGUGGAUGACAUAACAGUCAAGGAUGACGUGACAAUAUGUUUGGCGUGACAUGACAAAGUGGUGUGGUGUGCUCAUGUGGCAUGAGGGAACAAGAAGACUGGAUUUUUAUGGAGAAUGGUGCAAGAACUGGGUUACAGAAUGCUGAAGGAGAAUAGUGCAAGAACUAGGUUACAUGAGUUCAAGAAAAGGUGAAGAAGCAGCGGGGAAGCAAUUUCAAGCAGUUACGUAGCUUGAAAGCUUAGUCGGGCCUCUGGUUAUAUCAAGGCAGCUGUCAAAGAGAGUGUUCAUUUCUCGCUUGAGAAUUGAUCUCAUUCUCUGCAAUGUCAUUAACAAGAUCAAUCCAGGUGCUAUAGCCAAGGUUGUGGAGAACAUUUCUUAUAUACAAUCAUUCAGCGGGAAAACUCAACCGCGACCUUUGUAUCAGUUAUAUGAGAAUGUAAGAAACUUUUUGGCGGCUGUCAAAGAGUUGAAGCUUCAGCAUUUAAGCUUGUGAUCUUGAAAAGGUUGUAGAGAAUAUUUCAUAUAUAUAAUCAAUCGGCGAGGAAGCUCAACCACCACCUGCGGAUCAGUUCUUUGAGAAUGUUGUAGAGAAUAUUUCAUAUAUAUAAUCAAUCGGCGAGGAAGCUCAACCACCACCUGCGGAUCAGUUCUUUGAGAAUGUAAGGAACUUUUUGGUGGUAGUCAAAGAGUUGAAGUUGUCAGCUUAAGCUUCUGAUCUUGAAAAGUUUGGGUCAACAGUGAAGGUUGUAGAUUCCAUUUUAUCCCUAAAAUUAUAUCAUGAAUGGAAGCAAACGAACAAUGGGAACGGUUAUCAACAAUCACAUUAGGGUCUUGUAGACACUUGGACAUGUCUGUGGUUGUCUAGCAAUGUUGAUUCACUCAUCAAUCCAAGCACUGUAGUCAAGGUUGUGGAGAAUAUUUCAUUUGUACAAUCAAUUAGCAGGGAAGCUCAACCACCAUUUGCGGAUCAGUUAUUUGAGAAUGUAAGGAAGCUUUUGGCGGCAAUCAAAGCGUUGAAGCUGACAGCUUAAGCUUCUGAUCUUCAAAAGGUAAUUCAAUAUCUAAUGUGCAUAUGUAUAUGGUGAUGAACAUAUAUUUGGUAUAGGAGUAUUGAUAUACAAACGAGUGUAUUAAUUGGUUUUGGCUUCUUAAAUAUACUUUGAAGUUUGGGUUAACAGCGAAGGUUGUAUUUUAGCCCCAAAAUUAUAUCAUGAAUGGAAGCAAACGAACAAUGGAAACGGUUAUCAACAAUCACAUCAAACUCUUGUAGACACUUAGACAUGUCUGUGGUAUAUCUUUUACUGUUCUGUGUUAAUUAAUAUAAUAACUUUAUUUAAUAUUUUUAUAUUUAAUUUAUUAGCAAUAUCAUUUAAUUUUUCAAAGAGAUUUUAGCUUGUACAUAACCUUUUUUUUUUAUAGGUUGUCUAGCAAUGUUGAUUCACUCAUCAAGGUACUUGUUGAAAAUCUAGUUAAUGUAAUGGAAAACAUUGA